rnacentral:lncRNA from 1 species
GUGUGCCCACUACAGGAAACCACGACGCCACGCCUCACAGUUUUGCCCCACAAAAAGUGCCUCACGUGGGAAAGGAGGAGUCCACACUUUUAAGCAGUAGACACUCUUGACUGUAAUCGGUAUGGAACUUUCGAGGUUCAACCUCUCGAUGCCCGGCCCACAACAAAUCCUGUUGGAGAUAAUACAAUCGACCCUGACUCUGAUCCUAUAUC